UCAAAGAAAGAUACUCAACUAGUUUUGCGAUGUGUUCCUAAUAUGCAGUAUAAAUAUAUUGGGAGCAUUUUGCAUACAUAGUUUUGUAUCAAUAUAUAGAU
ensembl:miRNA MIR450A1 microRNA 450a-1